GGCAGGAGGCCAGGUGGUAGUUCCCUACCAGUAGCCAAGGAGGGAAGUGCUCAGCUAUUUUACAAAGGAGAGGCCUGAUGAAGGAGCUGCAUCUGAUACUGUGGAGAGAGAAAGGAUCCCUGGAAUUGGAUGAGACUGCACUCCAGAGAUGUCAUAAAUUGACUGAGGUGCCAGACAGCUGAAGAGUCAGCCUGUGCUGAUAAAAUCAUACCUAAGCAUCACUAUUUCUAUGAUUAGGGAAAAAGAAGCUCACACCAGGGUAAUCAAAAAUGGACCUUAAAAGAAGCUGGUUUCACAAUCGGGUGAGGGAGCCCUUUUCUACAGACUGGCUGCUUCAGAUAUAAAGCAAGAAGCUCUACCUUGCCUGAAGAAUCAAGGGUUAACUGUACAGCAAUUACAUCUGUUUGACGUUUCUAACUGGCUACUAUAAUAGUGUGGGGCUAGGUUACCCCAAGGUCACCAUUAUGAAAGCUCCCAUGUACCCCAGUUUGAGCUGCUGCUUACAGGGCAUAGUGAUAUAGUUAAAUCCCUGAAACUGGACAUUGUGGCAUUUUGGCUGAGGGGAGGAAAACAAGGCUGGGAUUCACAGCUUUCACCAGGUUAUGGACACUUUCUGAGAGGGCUUGUCAUUUGCCCCACUGCCUGCCCCGAGGUGCCCGUGCAGCUGCCGCCAGCAUACAGCUGAUGCUGGAGCUGUGCAACCUGGUGGAGCUGUUUGCACUCUUCCCACUGCUUGGUGCAGCUGCCCAGAGUGCGGGCUGGCUACAAACAGCUGCGCUGGGCUCGUCACCUCCGUGCCGGGAGCCGGGGAGAAACCGGGACUGCACUGCCUCAGGCCCCACACUGCCUGCUCUGAGGCGCAUCUGCACUUGCCGGUGCAGAGCUGGUGCCAGAGCCCGGCACAGCUGUUUGGAACCUCCAAGCUGCAGCUGACCCUGGCUCUGGGGAGUUGCUUGCCAGCUGGGAUCCCAGGCUGCUCCCAGCAGGCAGCUGGGACGCUGCAAGCCCUGCUGGGAGCAUUCCAGGCUCUGUUGCUGGCAGCAGCUACACGGAGCUGGCGCUGGCUUUGCUUGCCAAGCAAAAUGGCCUUGCAUGUCACACUUGGCACACGUGCCAGGGUUUGCCAACCCCUGCAGUACACAAACAAUUAAGAGGGGAGGGAACAACAUCCCUUCCCCCACAUGGUAUCUCAUGGGAACUUACCUG